GAACUUUCCUGGCAGCUUGGAGAAGUUGCAGGAGAAAAUUCAUAACUUGUUGUAGGAGCACCUGAAUCUUAAACAAUUUGUGGCUCGCGGAGCCUUGACAUAUCCAAAAAUCACGAUCACAUAGCUCGUAGAUUUGUUCACGCAAUCUCUUCGAAUCAGGUUCUUAAUUCGAAUUCGCAAAUGGUUUCAGAUUCGCGUGUUGUCACGAGAAUAUUCAUAACUUUUUGAAGGAUACUGAAAUCACGAACGAUUUGCGGCGCUGGAAAGUAGACUCGUGGAGCUUCGGCAUACCUAAAAAUCACGACCGAGAAGCUAAUAGAUUUAUCGAGGUAAUAUUCUAAAAUUUAGAGUUAAGAUUCUGCCAUAUUGCGUCUUUAAAUUUCACCUGUAAAAAUUUCUUGCCUAAAAUAAUGUCGGCUAGGUCCCUAUAUUGUUAUAGCUGUAGAAAAGUAUCCCGAAAUUUGAAAGAUAAAAUUUUCCAGAAAUUGGGCGUUAUACGACGUACUAUGUGAUCGCAUGACUAGUAUGCAGACUGCAUAAUGGUCGCAUACCUGGGCAGGCCACUACCCAAUUGGAGGACAACUAUGCGGUCCAGAAUACUAUUGAAUUUUGGUUAUGCUAACUACAUAGUUAUCGCAUUUUUUCCCAUUGACUUUUGGUGAGGGAGGUUAUGCGACUCACUAUGCGAUCGCAUAACGUGUAUGCGGACCGCAUAGUGGUCGCAUACCUGCACAGUGUGUUUUAAUUAUGGCCUAUAUUUUAGGGCCAUUCUGCGACCAGUCUGCGGACCGCAUGUUAGGAAUGCGAUUGCAUUCCUGGCCGCAUUCUACGUCAACGCUCCUAUUUUUUUAAUUUUUCAAUCUGACCCCUUCUUCAAUAAAAUACCACAACCCUUCAUUUUAUCAAUUUAUUUGAACAAAACUAGAGAGAGGGAAAUGAGGAUUCUUGAGAGAGAAAGUCUCAUCUCUAACAAGUUGAUUUUCAAAGUCACCAAGGCCGGAAAAUUUCGAGUAAUUAUCUUUAUCUUCGUUCUUGCAGGUAAAAUCCCCAACCAUUUUUCAUUGGUUUUCAGAUUUAAACAAAAAAGUAAUUUUCAUGAAUUGAGUCUUAAAAAUAUAAGUUGAACCAUACAUGCAUGUUCUUUAAUACCUAAAUCUAGUAAAAGGAAUUGGGUAGGAGUAAAGAUAUGCAAAAAGGAGCGGUUGAUAACCUAAGUAAGUUCGAGUUGUAUUUGUGAACUUCAAUUCUAAGAUAUAUGUGUUAACUUGUGAACUAGAUUGAUGGCACUAGGCAGUUUGGUGAAUUAAAGUAGGAUUUAAAAAGGAAAUUCGACUCUAGGUAUGUAUGGCUAACUUUAACUUAUGUAAUGUCACCUUGUUUGAUGUACGAGUCAUUGGUAUGUGUUACUUAUGUGGACUAUUUGUAAAUCUUGGUUGUUUCACGGGUUUUAAGGCAAGAUGGUCUAUUUCAUGAAUUCUUAUGAUUAAUAUACCUUGAACAUUAUUGGUUAAACAUCCCAACAUGAUGGUGUAAACAAAUGGUAACAAACCAAGUGUGAGUGUUCAUGUGUUCAUGUGGUAAGGGCUGUGUAAUAAAUGAUGGAAAGAAGUCGUAAUUGAUGUUAAUGUAAACUCUUUGUGAAUUAUUAUUGUUGUUGUGAGAUGAUAUUCUGGAUGGCCUAAAGCCAUGUGAUUGAACUGUGAACUAUUGUUGUUGUGGAAGAUGAUUAUCCGAUGGGAUUGGGUUGCACGCCGCAACACAAAAUUAUAAGGUAUGGGUUGCGAUGAUAAGGGUGGCUGAAGUAAUAAGGGUAGCCGAGGUAAUAAGGGUGGAAAAGUGAUCAUAAUCACUAUUGAAAUGAAAAUAUGUGAAACUCUUGAGUAUGAAAUGAUGUUGAAAAGGGAAAGAAGAGAUUGUGAAACUUGUUCGGCGUUGGUUGAUCCUUUCAUGUGCAUUGAUUGUUGAUUCUAUUACUGUUUGUUACCUGUGUAUUGCUUGAUCUUACUUGGAGUAAACUUUGUUCGUACAUACCAGUACAAUUCAAAUGAACGGACGUCCCUUUUGCCGGGGGCGCUACAUUUUUGUUAUAAUUGUAGGUGGUUCAAUAGCAGGUACUCCAGUCCACCGAUAAUAGUACCUCCUCCACUUUUCGUCAGAUGUAUUAGUGAGCCCCUUUCCUAUUGGGGCCCUGCGUAUCUCAUACCGCUUUUCUUCUUGGAGUCUUAUUUUGGUAUUGUGUAAGGAAUAGUUGAAGCCUUUUUAUCGGCAAGUAUUGUAAAACUCUUUUGUAUCCCUAGAGGCUCCGUAUACAGGU
rnacentral:lncRNA from 1 species